AUGGGUUUUUUUUUUUCAGCCUUUCUGCAUGUUUUUGAGAGAGGAUUUUCAGAGAGGAAUGUAAUCUUCAUUCUGUGGGGAGAGAUUCAGCUUCAUGUCAAGGGUUUGAAAAAACAAAACAAAACCUCUGCUGUGUUAAACAGGGCAAGCCAGAUACUUUAUGGUUGUCAGUAAAGAAUACAUAGAGCAGAGCUGGGA
rnacentral:lncRNA from 1 species